rnacentral:misc_RNA from 1 species
GAUGAAGAACGUAGCGAAAUGCGAUAAGUAAUGUGAAUUGCAGAAUUCCGUGAAUCAUCGAAUCUUUGAACGCAUAUUGCGCCCUCUGGUAUUCCGGGGGGCAUGCCUGUCCGAGCGUCAUUGCUGCCCUCAAGCACGGCUUGUGUGUUGGGCCCCCGUCCCCGGUUUCCCCCGGGGACGGGCCCGAAAGGCAGCGGCGGCACCGCGUCCGGUCCUCGAGCGUAUGGGGCUUUGUCACCCGCUCUGUAGGCCCGGCCGGCGCCAGCCGACACCCAACUUUAUUUCUAAGGUUGACCUCGGAUCAGGUAGGGAUACCCGCUGAACUUAAGCAUAUCAAUAAGCGGAGGA